UACGUAGGGUGCAAGCGUUGUCCGGAAUUAUUGGGCGUAAAGAGCUCGUAGGCGGUCUGUCGCGUCGGAUGUGAAAAUCCAGGGCUCAACCCUGGACCUGCAUUCGAUACGGGCAGACUAGAGUUCGGCAGGGGAGACUGGAAUUCCUGGUGUAGCGGUGAAAUGCGCAGAUAUCAGGAGGAACACCGGUGGCGAAGGCGGGUCUCUAGUACGGUACUGACGCUGAGACGCGAAAGCGUGGGGAGCGAACAGG
rnacentral:rRNA from 1 species